rnacentral:rRNA from 1 species
UACGUAGGGUGCAAGCGUUAAUCGGAAUUACUGGGCGUAAAGCGUGCGCAGGCGGUGGCUCAAGCCAGGCGUGAAAUCCCCGGGCUUAACCCUGGGGAAUGGCGUUUGGGACUGGGUCGCUAGAGUGUGGCAGAGGGGAGGUGGAAUUCCACGUGUAGCAGUGAAAUGCGUAGAGAUGUGGAGGAACACCGAUGGCGAAGGCAGCCUCCGUGG